GACAGAGGGUGCAAACGUUGUUCAGAAUCACUGGGCGUAAAGCGCACGUAGGCGGAUUGCUAAGUCAGGGGUGAAAUCCUGGAGCUCAACUCCAGAACUGCCUUUGAUACUGGCGAUCUUGAGUCCGGGAGAGGUGAGUGGAACUGCGAGUGUAGAGGUGAAAUUCGUAGAUAUUCGCAAGAACACCAGUGGCGAAGGCGGCUCACUGGCCCGGUACUGACGCUGAGGUGCGAAAGCGUGGGAGCAACAG
rnacentral:rRNA from 1 species